CAACCCUCGCGCCCAUCCGGGCUGCGGUGUUGGGGACCGGCACAGCCCCCCCUCGGGGGGGCGCCGCCCCCCAAAUCCAGUGGCGGCCCCGCCGCUGCCUCCCCUGCGUAGUAGCACACCUCGCACCGGAGCGCGGCUCGGCCACGCCGUAAAACCCCCGACUCUCAGA
rnacentral:misc_RNA from 1 species